rnacentral:tRNA from 1 species
GACUUUUUAACUAUUGUAAGUAUAUAUUUUGAAAAUAUAAAAAAGAGAAUUA